UGUUUGAUGUUCUAACGUUGGCCCCUGAUCGGGGUUGCGGACAGUGUCUGGUGGGUAGUUUGACUGGGGCGGUCUCCUCCUAAAGAGUAACGGAGGAGCACGAAGGUUGGCUAAUCCUGGUCGGACAUCAGGAGGUUAGUGCAAUGGCAUAAGCCAGCUUGACUGCGAGCGUGACGGCGCGAGCAGGUGCGAAAGCAGGUCAUAGUGAUCCGGUGGUUCUGAAUGGAAGGGCCAUCGCUCAACGGAUAAAAGGUACUCCGGGGAUAACAGGCUGAUACCGCCCAAGAGUUCAUAUCGACGGCGGUGUUUGGCACCUCGAUGUCGGCUCAUCACAUCCUGGGGCUGAAGUAGGUCCCAAGGGUAUGGCUGUUCGCCAUUUAAAGUGGUACGCGAGCUGGGUUUAGAACGUCGUGAGACAGUUCGGUCCCUAUCUGCCGUGGGCGCUGGAGAACUGAGGGGGGCUGCUCCUAGUACGAGAGGACCGGAGUGGACGCAUCACUGGUGUUCGGGUUGUCAUGCCAAUGGCACUGCCCGGUAGCUAAAUGCGGAAGAGAUAAGUGCUGAAAGCAUCUAAGCACGAAACUUGCCCCGA
rnacentral:rRNA from 3 species